GCUGGUCUCUUCCAAGUGCUGCUGGGAUUUCUAAGUGUGAGUUGGAAACAGCAAAAAGCGUGGACAUUUGACCAUCGUGACCGGGUUGCCUAGCAAUCCCUAGGUUGCUAUGACCACGACAGUAGCCACUCUGGGCACUGUUUACUGGGGGGUUGCCAGGGAUACAUCGAGGACCACCGGCGCGUAUUUGGAUCACAUGACCGGCGCACAUAUGUCACAGGAGCCAGGACGGAAGCAGGUAGCUUACCCGGUUUCCGCUGUAUUUCCCGCCGGCGGGACUCCUUCACCAUAAAGAACAACUUUCCGUGAAUUCAGGAUACAUAUGAAGAAUGCAGCACUGAAGCCUUGAAAUAUAAGUCUCACACGUGUCUAUAUUUUAGGCAGCUGUACACCAAACUGGUAGCAUAGUCAGAAUAUCCUUUGAUCGUUUUUCUCUAUUGUUGAAACAUCUCAUUGGGCUACAGAAUCUGUACUAGUGAUCUGAAGUACAACAAUCAAUUGCUGUAUAUUUAAAAACCAGAAGUCUACAAGGAAAAGAGUUAUACAGUUCAGUUCCAGAUAUCAAUAAAUAACGAGGUAUAGCAUGAAUUAUCCAUCCAUAUCUCUUAGUAGUGAAAAUCUGCUAUAUAUUAUUAAAUUGUGUAGUUUGCUUUUAUUUAUAUAUAUUUUACAAUGUUUGUUUCACUCUGCAUCCAUACAUAUUUAGCAUGCACAUAUCAAUAAAUGUA